CAGUCGUACCUUCGGGUAAUCAGCCUUUCGAGUGCGAUUCUGUGGAGUGUGAGGAGCUAAACACCUUCAUGCCUGCAUAUUCGUGCUCUUGGGUGUACUUGCUCGUGUGGCUGGUUAACAUCAAUUUCGGACGCCAUAAAAUGGCUGGAGGAAUGUAGCUUCGAUCUCGUAUUGAAGUGUUAUAGCCUUCGGUAGAUGUGAUGAUCGGGAUUGAGGAUCUCAGGCCGCAAGGCUGUAGGAUGCUGGCAUAAUGGCUUUAAUCGACCGUCUUGAAACACGGACCAAGGACGUCUAACAUAUGUGCGAGUGUUU
rnacentral:rRNA from 1 species